rnacentral:rRNA from 1 species
GAUGAACGCUGACAGAAUGCUUAACACAUGCAAGUCUACUUGAACUUCGGUUUGGGUGGCGGACGGGUGAGUAACGCGUAAAGAACUUGCCUCACAGACUGGGACAACAUUUGGAAACGAAUGCUAAUACCGGAUAUUAUGAGAUAUGCGCAUGCAUAACUUAUGAAAGCUAUAUGCGCUGUGAGAGAGCUUUGCGUCCCAUUAGCUAGUUGGAGAGGUAACGGCUCACCAAGGCGAUGAUGGGUAGCCGGACUGAGAGGUUGAACGGCCACAUUGGGACUGAGACACGGCCCAG